CCUACGGGUGGCUGCAGUGGGGAAUAUUGGACAAUGGGGGCAACCCUGAUCCAGCCAUGCCGCGUGUGUGAAGAAGGCCCUCGGGUUGUAAAGCACUUUCAGUGAGGAAGAACGCCUGGUGGUUAAUACCCAUCAGGAAAGACAUCACUCACAGAAGAAGCACCGGCUAACUCCGUGCCAGCAGCCGCGGUAAUACGGAGGGUGCGAGCGUUAAUCGGAAUUACUGGGCGUAAAGCGCGCGUAGGUGGCUUGAUAAGCCGGUUGUGAAAGCCCCGGGCUCAACCUGGGAACGGCAUCCGGAACUGUCAAGCUAGAGUGCAGGAGAGGAAGGUAGAAUUCCCGGUGUAGCGGUGAAAUGCGUAGAGAUCGGGAGGAAUACCAGUGGCGAAGGCGGCCUUCUGGACUGACACUGACUCUGAGGUGCGAAAGCGUGGGUAGCAAACAGGAUUAGAUACCCCGGUAGUC
rnacentral:rRNA from 1 species